rnacentral:rRNA from 1 species
CCUACGGGAGGCAGCAGUGAGGAAUAUUGGUCAAUGGCCGUAAGGCUGAACCAGCCAAGUCGCGUGAAGGAAGAAGGAUCUAUGGUUUGUAAACCUCUUUUAUAGGGGAAUAAAGCUAUCCACGUGUGGCUAUUUGCAUGUACCCUGUGAAUAAGCAUCGGCUAACUCCGUGCCAGCAGCCGCGGUAAUACGGAGGAUGCGAGCGUUAUCCGGAUUUAUUGGGUUUAAAGGGAGCGUAGGCCGCAUGUCAAGCGUUCUGUGAAAUGUCCGGGCUCAACCCGGGCCUUGCAGCGAGAACUGGCGUGCUGGAGUCCGCGGAAAGCAGGCGGAAUUCGUCGUGUAGCGGUGAAAUGCUUAGAUAUGACGAAGAACCCCGAUUGCGAAGGCAGCUUGCUGCAGCGGAACUGACGCUGAUGCUCGAAAGCGCGGGUAUCGAACAGGAUUAGAUACCCUUGUAGUC